AUGAUUGUGAUUAUAAUCCUAGCACCGCGAGAGAAAGAUAGAUUCCCCCUCCUACACCAGUACCAGUAGAAGGCCUGUGUAAAGCAGCAACACUCUAUUCACCUUCAUCAGCUCUUCUCUCCCGUUUCUCACCUUUGUAGUAGUCCCAGGAUGACAGUUUAGUUGCCGAGAGAACUUCUAAAUUUUCUAGGAAACAUGUGACCACUGCAAUUCUCAUACAUUGGGGCAGCAAGAGGACUGAAAAUGAGUAAGAAACAAGCUCACAGAUUUUCAGACACUAGGGCUCUUCGAGGUUUUCUAAUACGAUAUCAGAUCAGUAUCUAACUCAGUUAACAGGUUUUCAAAAUGUAAUAGGCAGCAUGAAUUUAGUGUACUCUACAGAAUUUAGACUUUAUGUGUAGGCACUAUAUGAUAUCGCAUAAAAGGUUAAGCAUUCCUCUCUCUAGGAUUUUG